rnacentral:rRNA from 1 species
AGAGUUUGAUCCUGGCUCAGAAUCAACGCUGGCGGCGCGCUUAACACAUGCAAGUCGCACGAGAAAGUCCGCAAGGAUGAGUAAAGUGGCGCACGGGUGAGUAACACGUGGAUGAUCUACCCUCUAGUGGGGAAUAACCCUGGGAAACCGGGGCUAAUACCGCAUAAGUCCGGGAGGAGAAAGCCGAAAGGCGCUGGAGGAAGAGUCCGCGGUCGAUUAGCUAGUUGGCGGGGUAAAAGCCCACCAAGGCUUCGAUCGAUAGCCGGCCUGAGAGGGCACACGGCCACACUGGCACUGAAACACGGGCCAGACUCCUACGGGAGGCAGCAGUGGGGAAUCUUGCACAAUGGGGGAAACCCUGAUGCAGCGACGCCGCGUGAGCGAUGAAGCCCUUCGGGGUGUAAAGCUCUUUCGACGGGAACGAUAAUGACGGUACCCGGAGAAGAAGCUGCGGCUAACUACGUGCCAGCAGCCGCGGUAAUACGUAGGCAGCGAGCGUUGUUCGGAAUUACUGGGCGUAAAGAGUGCGUAGGCGGUGCUUUAAGUUCGGUGUGAAAUCUCCCGGCUCAACUGGGAGGGUGCGCCGAAGACUGGAGUGCUUGAGUGUGGGAGAGGAAAGCGGAAUUCCUGGUGUAGCGGUGAAAUGCGUAGAUAUCAGGAGGAACACCUGCGGUGUAGACGGCUUUCUGGACCACGACUGACGCUGAGGCACGAAAGCGUGGGUAGCAAACAGGAUUAGAUACCCUGGUAGUCCACGCCCUAAACGAUGCAUACUUGGUGUGGGCAGUUCAUUCUGUCCG